UCUGUAGGCGGUGCGGCAAGUCGGGAGUGAAAUCCCUGGGCUUAACUCAGGGGCUGCUUCCGAAACUGCCGUGCUGGAGUGCGGGAGAGGUGAGUGGAAUUGCAGGUGUAGCGGUGAAAUGCGUAGAUAUCUGCAGGAACACCAGAGGCGAAGGCGGCUCACUGGACCGCAACUGACGCUGAGAGACGAAAGCUAGGGGAGCAAACAGGAUUAGAUACCCUGGUAGUCCUAGCCCUAAACGAUCAGGACUUGGCGUGGGCCCCGUACGGGGCUCGUGUCGGAGCUAACGUGUUAAGUCCUGCGCCUGGGGAGUACGGUCGCAAGGCUGAA
rnacentral:rRNA from 1 species